UGUCGCUGUCACGAAGUUGUUAUUCUUUACCAGCUGAUUUGUUUAUUUCGUAAAAAUAAAUAUAACACGUAAAAAAUAGUACCUAACUGACCAUUAUUGUGUGGUGAUGUGGUAGAUUGAUUUUAAUAGACAUUUAAACAGUUUUGGAUUCCCAGAAUCCUUUGUUUUUCGGAUUUUGGUGAAUAAAACUGCGUCAUAAGUAUUGCGGCAAUCUUGCAGUUUGGAAAUACGUCACUAAAGGCGUCAUCUGUUCCGUAAAAAUGGACGAGCAACAAGAACAGAACAUUAAAACCUAAAAAACAAUAAUAGAAAAGAACCUGUUAUUUUAACAAUCUGUGAUUUUAAAAUACGUAUAAUUGAUCUCUUAUUUUAAGUUUUAAUAGUGUUCAGAAACAGAACUAAAUACUAGCACCUUGAAUUGACAUUAAAAAUAGUAAAAGAGAUUUAUAGCAGCUUAACAAGGUCGUAUAAAGUUAUACGUCAAACAAACUAAAGUGAAAUUUAUCCUAUAUGAAUUAUAAAUAGAACUUAUAAGCGUAAAUGUUAUUAUGAAACACAU